UACGAAGGGGGCUAGCGUUGCUCGGAAUGACUGGGCGUAAAGGGCGCGUAGGCGGAUGGCACAGUCAGAUGUGAAAUUCCCGGGCUUAACCUGGGGGCUGCAUUUGAUACGUGUUGUCUAGAGUGAGGAAGAGGGUUGUGGAAUUCCCAGUGUAGAGGUGAAAUUCGUAGAUAUUGGAAAGAACACCGGUGGCGAAGGCGGCAACCUGGUCCUUGACUGACGCUGAGGCGCGAAAGCGUGGGGAGCAAACAGG
rnacentral:rRNA from 1 species